rnacentral:rRNA from 1 species
AAUAGAUACCCAGGUAGUCCACGCCGUAAACGUUGGGCACUAGGUGUGGGGUCUAUUCAACGGACCCCGUGCCGUCGCUAACGCAUUAAGUGCCCCGCCUGGGGAGUACGGCCGCAAGGCUAAAACUCAAAGGAAUUGACGGGGGGCCCGCACAAGCAGCGGAGCAUGUUGCUUAAUUCGAGGCAACGCGAAGAACCUUACCUGGGUUUGACAUGUAGAGAAAAGCCAUAGAGAUAUGGUGUCCUUCGGGGUUUCUACACAGGUGGUGCAUGGUUGUCGUCAGCUCGUGUCGUGAGAUGUUGGGUUAAGUCCCGCAACGAGCGCAACCCUUGUCCUAUGUUGCCAGCACGUCAUGGUGGGGACUCGUAGGAGACUGCCGGGGUCGAACUCGGAGGAAGGUGGGGACGGACGUCAAAUCAUCAUGCCCCUUAUAUCCAGGGCUGCAAACAUGCUACAAUGGCCGGUACAAAGGGCUGCGAAACCGCGAGGUGGAGCGAAUCCCAUAAAGCCGGUCUCAGUUCGGAUUGGAGUCUGCAACUCGACUCCA